AUUGAACGCUGGCGGCACGCCUUACACAUGCAAGUCGAACGGUAGCAGGCCGUAGCAAUACGGUGCUGACGAGUGGCGAACGGGUGAGUAAAACAUCGGAACAUACCUUGUAGCGGGGAAUAACUAAUCGAAAGAUUAGCUAAUACCGCAUAACAUCUGAGGAUUAAAGCUGGGGACCGCAAGGCAUGGAACUACAAGAUUGGCCGAUGACUGAUUAGGUAGGUUGUUGAGGUAAAGGCUCACCAAGCCGACGAUCAGUAGCAGGUUGAAGAGAAUAAUGUGCCAGACGGGAGCUGAGACACGGUCCGGACUCCUCCGGGAAGCAGCAGUGGGGAAUAUUGGAAAAUGAACGAAAGACUGAUCCGGCGAUGCCGCGUGAGUGAAUAAUGUCUUCGGAUUGUAAAGCUCUUUUGUCAGGGAAGAAAAGUGCUGUAAUAACACUACGGCACAAUGACGGUACCUGAAGAAUAAGGAUCGGCUAACUACGUGCCAGCCGCCGCCGUAA
rnacentral:rRNA from 1 species